AAUGCGAAGUCGGACCUGCCCAGUGAAGUUUAAACGGCCGCGGUACUCUGACCGUGCAAAGGUAGCAUAAUCAUUUGCCUUAUAAUUGAAGGCUGGAAUGAAUGGUUUGACAAGAAUACACCUGUCUCUUUUAGAUUAUUUAGAAUUUUAUCUUUGGGCGAAAAAGCCCAGAUAUUAUUAAAAGACAAGAAGACCCUAUCGAGCUUCAGAAAAAUUAAUGGAGUAGUCACGUUUAAUAUUAACUAAAAAAAAAAGCUAUUAAAUACUUUGGUUGGGGCAACCGAGGAGUAGACAAAGCCUCCCUUGAAUAAGAAGUCUUACUUGAGAGGAUCCAAGAAUUUUGAUCAAAGGAAUUAGUUACCGUAGGGAUAACAGCAUUAUCUUUUUUGAGAGCCCAUAUCGAAAAAAAGGUUUGUGACCUCGAUGUUGGACCAGAAUAUCCUAAAGAUGCAGAAGUCUUUGAGGGUUGGUCUGUUCGACCAUUAAAAUUC
rnacentral:rRNA from 1 species